UACGAAGGGGGCGAGCGUUGUUCGGAUUUACUGGGCGUAAAGGGCGCGCAGGCGGCUCAUUUUGUCAGGCGUGAAAGCCCUGGGCUCAACCCAGGAAGUGCAUUCGAAACUGAUCGGCUUGAAUAUGGAAGAGGGUCGCGGAAUUCCCGGUGUAGAGGUGAAAUUCGUAGAUAUCGGGAGGAACACCAGUGGCGAAGGCGGCGACCUGGGCCAAUAUUGACGCUGAGGUGCGAAAGCGUGGGGAGCAAACAGG
rnacentral:rRNA from 1 species